GGCGCCGCGCCCGGGCCCUCGCGCCUCUGCUGCCUCGCCCCGCGCACUUGUGAAACUGGGGCGGGAGCCCCUCCGCCGCCCGCGCCCCUGCCCGGUGUCCGCGUUAUAUACAUCAUGGCUAUGACUAAUGUUAGAUUGCUUGCCGGUGUUUUAAGAAAACCAGAUGCCUGGAUUGGACUCUGGGGUGUGCUCCGAGGGACACCUUCUUCACAUAAACUCUGUACUUCCUGGAAUCAAUACUUGUAUUUUUCAAGUACUGAGUUAAAUGCAUCAAAUUAUAAAACACUUUUCCAUAAUAUUUUCUCACUGAGACUCCCAGGGCUUUCAAUAUCUCCAGAAUAUGUUUUUCCAUUUUCCCUAAGACUCAAAGGUAGUGUAAGUUCUAAAAAAUCCACUAAAAAGUCUCCACAAAAAGUAGAAGAUGAAGAGGACUCUGAUGCAGAGGAGGAUGAUGACGAAAUGAGUGAGACGGAAGAGGAGCUUGAGGAUGACCCCAGUGUGGUCAAAGACUAUAAAGACCUGGAAAAAGUAGUGCCAUCUUUUCGGUAUGAUGUUAUCCUGAAGACGGGCCUAGAUGUUGGAAGAAACCAAGUGGAAGAUGCAUUCUACAGAGGUGAACUCAGGCUGAAUGGGGAAAAACUAUGGAAGAAAAGCAGAACGGUGAAAGUGGGAGACACAUUGGAUCUUCUCAUUGGAGACGAUAAAGAAGCAGAAGCAGAGACAGUGAUGCGGAUUCUCCUGAAAAAAGUGUUUGAAGAGAAGACUGAAACUGAAAAAUACAGAGUGGUGUUACGACGGUGGAAGAAGUUAAAGUUGCCUAAGAAGAGAAUUCCCGAGAAUCGUUAACUGCCAUGAAGAGAAACUUCUGUAGACCAAAGCAGUGGGAUGCUUGGGCCCAUGGGUCUGAAAGUCUUUCACCAGCUCAUUUUUCAGAAGCCUCAGGAAAACUGAUUUUUAUUUUAAAGCUUAAACUUUCAGGAAGAAAUAAUAUAUACUAUGCAGUGUAACAGGGAAUUUUCCUAUUUUACCACCUGUUAAUUUGGCUCUACUGAGUGGUCAGUAACAAUCGUAUGUUUAAUUUCUACACGAGUUAGUUAUGAAUUUGGGAAAUUAGAUGUCCAUACUUUUUCUCAUUUUCUUCUCCUCCCUCCCACCUCCACUCACCGUUUCCCCUCUCUCUCUCACCCUCCCUUGACUUCUCUUUGGAAAGGGACUAGAAAGCCUAAGAGGUCCUGGUUGGUGAGGGCAGUACGAUCUAGUGAUAAGUCAGGGGUCCUGGGUUAUCAGGCCCAAUCUUGCCAUUAACAAGUUGGGUUACUUUGGUCAUAGUUUUACCUUAACCUCUCUGCCUCAGUUUCUUCACUGGUCAAAUGGAGAUCAGGAUACCGAUUGCUCUACCUUGUGUCUUGAAGGAGAAAGAACAUUAAAGCAUGUUGUGAGAGUUACUGUUAAAGGAUUAUCAGUCAACAACUUCCCAAAGAUCUCAAGGGAGCAGUGAAGGAUGUGAUAAAUUCUGGGUCUGCUCUUACUAGGAUGUCAGAAAAACAUUAAGGCUGGAUCUACGAGAGGCAAGUAUUUCCAAACAGCAGUAACAGCCCCCGGCCCCCACCCCCACUCCAGUGUUAUCUACAGUCUAUCUACACAGCCGGGCAGGGUGCAAGCACAACGGCCUCCCUUCAGGAGUCUCGAGAACUCCUCUCAACUGGGCAAGAAGCAAACAUUGGGUGGGGGAAAUGGUGGAAACUGAGGCCACCUCUAGAGGAACCCAGGUGGCCAUGCUGUGGUGUUGUCAGGCCAGCGACCCUCACCUUUCCAACAGCCAUCCAUCCAUUCACCACUAAGUAGAUCCCAUAGGUUGGUUGAUGAUUGCAGCUGAUGUGCUACUCCUCCCCCCAAACUUAAAAGGAAAGGAAGGUUUGGGGCCAACACCGAAGGGGGAGGAGCACAUGAGUGCUAAUGACACUAGACACAAUUUUAUUCCCUGUCAAAUGGUUUGUUGUCAUGUAGACACAGCCAAGGUGAACUGAAGCAGGAUUCCAACACUCAGUCCAUUCACAACUAUCUUCAUACAUUCUUUAAAAACUUACUAACAGAGAAGAUGAUGAAGACUACCACCUAUUGUGACUUACUAUUUCACUUAACACCAAAAUGUGUGCUAAUUGUUUAGUCCUUGAAAUACAAGGCCAAAAAAAAAAAAAAAUUCCAAAAAGCAAGUAAAAACCUAAGAAUUUAGAUGGGGAGAAGGAAAAGGGUUGCCAACAGAUUUCACAGAACAUAUUAA